UGCCCUUUAGUAGAGAAUAACUCGGGGAAACUCGAGCUAAUACUUUAAUACGCCGUUCGGGGGAAAGCUUUAUGCGCUAUUGGAUCGGGCCCGCGUUAGAUUAGUUUGUUGGUGAGGUAACGGCUCACCAAGGCGACGAUCUAUAGCUGGUCUGAGAGGAUGAUCAGCCACACGUGGGACUGAGACACGGCCCAGACUCCGUACGGGAGGCAGCAGGUGGGGAAUAGUUGGACAAGUGGGGGCAACCCUGAUCCAGCGAUGCCGCGUGAGUGAUGAAGGCCCUAGGGUUGUAAAGCUCUUUUGUCAGGGAAGAUAAUGACGGUACCUGAAGAAUAAGAUCCGGCUAACUCCGUG
rnacentral:rRNA from 1 species